rnacentral:lncRNA from 10 species
UUCUGGGGUUCCUAGUCCUCUUGGGCAGGCGGGGCAGGUUAGGGCCCCUCCAGAAUCUGCCAUUACAGAUCCUGGAUGAAACAGAAUUUAGUAUCUGACCUGCAGGGGCCAAGGGGUGGAUGUUUCCCAGAUGAAGAUGACCAAGGGGUUUAGGGGCUUAGGCCUUUUAGAGUUUCCCCCUUGGCCUGGGUCUCACUUCAAGGAGGCGGCCUGGAUCCCUGUCUGAUUCCCCCUCAAAGAAUGCUUCCUGUAACAUGGAUACAUUUCACACACAGCCGCCCGCCCCUGCUGCAGAGCGCACACAGCUCCUCUCACACACACUCACCAUCCAGCUGCACCGUGCGUCUCCAUGGCAACCAGUAGGCCUGGUCCACGGAUGUUAGAAAUAAGUGCCAGAGGAAGAGGAGAGAGAGAGGGAGAGGGAGAAGGGAGAAAGAGAAAUAAAGAGACUUAGAAAGAUAACCUCCCAAGGAGAGCCCUACCCUUUCCUUACAACCCUGCCAGGAAGACGUGAGUGGAUUCGGGCCCUGAGGACGGAGGAGCUCAGGGUGGGGACUAAGCAGUAGAUUAGGGGCUGUCUGGACACAGGUAACGGGGCACAGUGGGCAGUAAGGAGUGGGCAGAAUCAAGGGAACUUUCUUGACAGUCUGUAGUCUUGGGAUAGGAAUACUUGGUCUAGGUGAAAAAGGCAGAUGGGG